rnacentral:tRNA from 1 species
CGCGGGGUGGAGCAGUCUGGUAGCUCGUCGGGCUCAUAACCCGAAGGUCCCUGGUUCAAAUCCAGGCCCCGCUACCA